AGGAUGAACGCUAGCGGCAGGCUUAACACAUGACAAGUCGAGGGGCAGCAUGACACGGAGAUUCGUCGAAGUGUUGAUGGCGACCGGCGCAAGGGUGCGUAACGCGUGAGCAACUUGCCCGUUUUCUGGGGGAAAUAACCGGUGGAAACGCCGACUAAUACCCCAUAGCAUAACGAAGAGGCAUCUUUUGUUAUUAAAGAACUUCGGAAACGGAUAGGCUCGCGUGACAUUAGCUAGAUGGCGGGGUAACGGCCCACCAUGGCUACGAUGUCUAGGGGGUUCUGAGAGGAAGGUCCCCCACACUGGAACUGAGACACGGUCCAGACUCCUACGGGAGGCAGCAGUGAGGAAUAUUGGUCAAUGGUCUGACGACUGAACCAGCCAUGCCGCGUGAAGGUCACGGCCCUAUGGGUCUUAAACUUCUUUUGUAAGGGAGCAAUAAGUCUCACGUGUGGGAUGAUGAGAGUACCUUACGAAUAAGCAUCGGCUAACUCCGUG
rnacentral:rRNA from 1 species